GAUGAACGCUGGCGGCGUGCCUAAUACGUGCAAGUCGAGCGAACGGACGAGAAGCUUGCUUCUCUGAUGUUAGCGGCGGACGGGUGAGUAACACGUGGAUAACCUACCUAUAAGACUGGGAUAACUUCGGGAAACCGUAGCUAAUACCGGAUAAUAUUUUGAACCGCAUGGUUCAAAAGUGAAAGACGGUCUUGCUGUCACUUAUAGAUGGAUCCGCGCUGCAUUAGCUAGUUGGUAAGGUAACGGCUUACCAAGGCAACGAUGCAUAGCCGACCUGAGAGGGUGAUCGGCCACACUGGAACUGAGACACGGUCCAGACUCCUACGGGAGGCAGCAGUAGGGAAUCUUCCGCAAUGGGCGAAAGCCUGACGGAGCAACGCCGCGUGAGCGAUGAAGGUCUUCGGAUCGUAAAACUCUGUUAUUAGGGAAGAACAUAUGUGUAAGUAACUGUGCACAUCUUGACGGUACCUAAUCAGAAAGCCACGGCUAACUACGUG
rnacentral:rRNA from 1 species